CCUGUGUGGAGGGAGAGAGGUUGUUGGAGCCUGGUGCUUGGAGUGGAGGAGCCCACAGACUGUUUCUCCAUUUUGGUCACAUUCACAGAAUUUCAAGAUAGAAGGGAUGCAGUGGCCAUUUAAUCCAACAAUAUCUUAAAGGGACCCAAGCCCAUCUGCCACAGAUGUGAGAAUUUUUUGUUUAAAGAUCUCAAAUGAGGGAGGAACACAGUCCUUCCGAAGGGAUCCUUUCCUAUUUUGUGUAACUCUUAUCUUUAGGAAAUUUUUCCCCAUAUCAAAUCUAAAUAUUUUUUCUUUGCUUCCUCCACAUAACAAUUAGUUCUGUCCUAUGGAGUUAAAUAAAAGUCUAAUCCCUA